rnacentral:lncRNA from 1 species
UCAGUAGUCAAAGUCUUAAAGAGAGGUGAAUCACCCCUGCUGUCUCCUUCCCAUCCCUCUUCUGAACUGGACCCUCCACAUCUGGCUCACUGAAUCCAGUAAGACAAAGUUGGAGGUGAGGAGGACCGAGAGACAGGUUAAUAAUGAUGCUUUAUUAUAGUGACAGUUCCCAACAUCACCAGUAAAUUGAGCUUAGGGAAUGGAUCAUCGGCUUAAAACAGUUUUACCUGUCAGCUCAGUCACCUACCUGUCUUUGGGAAAGAAGCUACUAUUUGUUUUAGAAAAUGAAAAUGUUAUUACCCUUUUCUCCAGCUGACUUCAAUUAUCCUCCUAGGUCUAGGUGUUCUAAAUUAGGUGUUUUAUAACCACUCCAUCAACAGACCACCUUUGUUGUGUUUGGGGCUCAAAAAGAACCCUAACUAGUAAGCUGCUUCUGAACUGAGAAAGCUCCUGACAUAUAGGAGGGAGCUGUAACUGCGUUUCCCAGAAUCUGAACAGGCUUACUAUUGCAUGUCCUAAACUGUCACAUUAGGAGACUACCGUUUUUGUAGAACCAUGUGAUGGCCCUGCUAUAUUACUACUACAUGUUCAUUUUCUCAAAGGAGGCCUAACAUUGCACUGAUGGCCAUCAUGGUUCCUGCACUAGAGUAUUCAGAGUAAACUGAUGCCAGACAAAUGUAGUUUACUGCAGGCUUACUGGAUCCUGACAUUUAAUUAAAUAUAACAUAAUCUAGUAAACACUGAAGUAACAAAUCAGUUGUUGAAACAUGAAAUAAAUGUUCUUCUGUAACAUGUCCAACUUUUCUUAAUGUGUUGAACAGAGAAAUCAAGUCAACUGGGAAUUUGACACCAAUCUAAAUGUGCUAUUUCCUAAAUGCUAAAAGUUCGACUCCAAAAUUCAACAGAAUGCAAUUAAAAUGGUGGUAUUUCUUUUUAUUACUAAUUCUACAUCUUUUUCAUGAACACUUAAUUCUGUUGGUCCUUGUGAUUAACGUAGUAUCUUGUUUUCAUUAUGUUUCUUAAGAAACAAGACAAGUCUUACCAAUCCACUUUGUGUUGUAGCAUCCAUUGCCUGUUGGUAGGCCACACUGUCAAGAAGUGACAGAGAAGUUCAGUGGUGAACGUGAGGGGAAAGAGGGAAACCAAAUAACCAAAAAGACCCCCAGCUUUCUCCUAGUGUGCUCAGAAACCUGGGCCCUUCAUCCACUACACUACCAGUAAACAAACCCUAAUUCAGGUUUCACACAUCCUCAAAGACAGCAGACACACUUAAGGAAAGGAAAUCACCCAUUGCCUGUGUCUAUAGUAUGUUGGCCUCCUUUUUCCUCUCAAAUAAUCAGCCUUCUACUUUGAUGUCUUUUUAAAAAAAAUAUGGACCCACAUGCAGUAUCCAUCUGAUCCUAUAAUGGCUUAACAAGAUCAUCUUCAAUUCUAUCCUUUGACUGCAAAUGAGGUAAUUUCACUUUUUAUGACUGAAUAAAACUGGUUUGUAAAUAUAUACAUUUUGUUUGUCCACUUGGUCGAUGUCUAUACUGAUUCCAUAGCUUGUUUGUAAACAAUGCCACAAUAAAUAUCAAUGUAAAUGCCUUUAUUUUUAAUAGCCACAAAUUUAAAAAUAUUAAAUACCUUCAACAGAUGGAUAAAGUGGUAUAUUCAUGUAAUAAAAUAUUAACACUAAAAG